GAGGUUGACGGUAGGUGGGGGAGAAGCAACGGCAGUACUUCCAGCAGCACCGCUAACAAGUAGGGUGCGAGCGUCGUCCGGAAUCAUUGGCGUAAUGAGCUCGGUAGGCGGUGUGUCGCGUCGGGCCGUGAAAACUCGCAGAUUAACCGUGAGCGUGCGAUCGAUACGAGCAUCAUGGAGUUCGGCAGGGGAGACUGGAAUUCCUGGUGUAGCGGUGAAAAUGCGCAGAUAUCAGGAGGAACACCGGUGGCGAAGGCGGGUAUGUGGGCCGAUACUGACGAUGAGGAGCGAAAGCGUGGGGAGCGAACAGGAUUAGAUACCCUGGUAGUCCACGCCGUAAACGCUGGGCGCUAGGUGUGGGGACCAUUCCACGGUUUAUGUGCCGUAGCUAACGCAUUAAGCGCCCCGCCUGGGGAGUACGGCCGCAAGGCUAAAACUCAAAGGAAUUGACGGGGGCCCGCACAAGCGGCGGAGCAUGUGGAUUAAUUCGAUGCAACGCGAAGAACCUUACCUGGGUUUGACAUGCACCAGGCGCGUCUAGAGAUGGGCGUUCCCUUGUGGAUGGUGUGCAGGUGGUGCAUGGCUGUCGUCAGCUCGCGUCGUGAGAUGUUGGGUUAAGUCCCGCAACGAGCGCAACCCUUGUUCCAUGUCGCCAGCGCGUGAUGGCGGGGACUCAUGGGAGACUGCCGGGGUCAACUCGGAGGAAGGUGGGGAGGACGUCAAGUCAUCAUGCCCCUUAUGUCCAGGGGUUCACACAUGCUACAAUGGCCUAUACAGAGGGCUGCGAGACCGUGAGGUGGAGCGAAUCCCUUAAAGUGGGUGUCACUUCGGAUCGGGGUCUGCAACUCCGCCCCCGAAAUUGGAGUCGGUAGUAAUCGCAGAUCAGCAACGCCGCGGUGAAUACGUUCCCGG
rnacentral:rRNA from 1 species